rnacentral:rRNA from 1 species
AGGAUUAAGCCAUGCAUGUCUAAGUAUAAACGAUUUAAUCGUGAAACCGCGAAUGGCUCAUUAUAACAGCUAUAAUUUACUUGAUCUUGACACAAUCCUACUUGGAUAACUGUGGUAAUUCUAGAGCUAAUACAUGCAUUAAAGCUCUGACCUCACGGGAAGAGUGCAUUUAUUAGAACAAAACCAAGCGGCUUCGGCUGUUUCUGGUUGACUCAUAGUAACUGAGCUGAUCGCAUGGUCUUGCACCGGCGACGUGUCUUUCAAGUAUCUGCCGUAUCAACUUUCGAUGGUAGUGUAUCUGACUACCAUGGUGAUCACGCGUAACGGAGAAUAAGGGUUCGGCUCCGGAGAGUUCGCCUGAGAAAUCGCGAACACAUCUAAGGAAGGCAGCAGGCGCGAAAAUUACCCACUCUCAGCACGAGGAGGUAGUGACGAAAAAUAACGAGACCGUUCUCUUAUGAGGCCGGUCAUCGGAAUGGAGUACAAUUUAAACCCUUUAACGAGUAUCU